ACUCCGGUAGCUCAAGUGGUAGAGCAGCGGUCUCCAAAACCGCAGGUUGCAGGUUCGAGCCCUGCCGGGAGUGCCA
rnacentral:tRNA from 1 species